rnacentral:rRNA from 1 species
GACGCUGGCGGCGUGCUUAACACAUGCAAGUCGAACGGUGAACCAGAGCUCGCUCUGGGGAUCAGUGGCGAACGGGUGAGUAACACGUGGGCAACCUGCCCCAGACUCUGGGAUAACCCCGGGAAACCGGAGCUAAUAUCGGAUAUGACCACUUCGGACAUCCGAUGGUGGUGGAAAGUUUUUCGGUCUGGGAUGGGCCCGCGGCCUAUCAGCUAGUUGGUGGGGUAAUGGCCUACCAAGGCGACGACGGGUAGCCGGCCUGAGAGGGCGACCGGCCACACUGGAACUGAGACACGGUCCAGACUCCUACGGGAGGCAGCAGUGGGGAAUAUUGCACAAUGGGCGAAAGCCUGAUGCAGCGACGCCGCGUGAGGGACGACGGCCUUCGGGUUGUAAACCUCUUUCAGCAGGGACGAAGCGAAAGUGACUGUACCUGCAAAAGAAGCACCGGCUAACUACGUG